UACGUAGGGUGCAAGCGUUAAUCGGAAUUACUGGGCGUAAAGCGUGCGCAGGCGGCUUUUUAAGUCGGAUGUGAAAUCCCUGAGCUUAACUUAGGAAUUGCAUUCGAUACUGGGAAGCUAGAGUAUGGGAGAGGAUGGUAGAAUUCCAGGUGUAGCGGUGAAAUGCGUAGAGAUCUGGAGGAAUACCGAUGGCGAAGGCAGCCAUCUGGCCUAAUACUGACGCUGAGGUACGAAAGCAUGGGGAGCAAACAGG
rnacentral:rRNA from 1 species